rnacentral:rRNA from 1 species
UUGGAGGUUGUGGCCUUGAGCCGUGGCUUUCGGGAGCUAACGCGUUAAGUAGACCGCCUGGGGAGUACGGUCGCAAGAUUAAAACUCAAAUGAAUUGAACGGGGGCCCGCACAAGCGGUGGAGCAUGUGGUUUAAUUCGAUGCAACGCGAAGAACCUUACCUACUCUUGACAUCUACAGAAGCCAGCGGAGACGCAGGUGUGCCUUCGGGAACUGUAAGACAGGUGCUGCAUGGCUGUCGUCAGCUCGUGUUGUGAAAUGUUGGGUUAAGUCCCGCAACGAGCGCAACCCUUAUCCUUGUUUGCCAGCACUUCGGGUGGGAACUCCAGGGAGACUGCCGGUGAUAAACCGGAGGAAGGUGGGGACGACGUCAAGUCAUCAUGGCCCUUACGAGUAGGGCUACACACGUGCUACAAUGGCGCAUACAGAGGGCGGCCAACUUGCGAAAGUGAGCGAAUCCCAAAAAGUGCGUCGUAGUCCGGAUUGGAGUCUGCAACUCGACUCCAUGAAGUCGGAAUCGCUAGUAAUCGUGGAUCAGAAUGCCACGGUGAAUACGUUCCCGGGCCUUGUACACACCGCCCGUCACACCAUGGGAGUGGGCUGCAAAAGAAGUGGGUAGUUUAACCUUCGGGAGGACGCUCACCACUUUGUGGUUCAUGACUGGGGUGAAGUCGUAACAAGGUAACCG